rnacentral:rRNA from 1 species
GACUCAACACGGGGAAACUCACCAGGUCCAGACACGAUGAGGAUUGACAGAUUGAGAGCUCUUUCUUNNUUUCGUGGGUGGUGGUGCAUGGCCGUUCUUAGUUGGUGGAGNGAUUUGUCUGCUUAAUUGCGAUAACGAACGAGACCUUANCCUGCUAACUAGCGACGCGAGCCCUUGUGGCUGGUGGUCCGCUUCUUAGAGGGACUGUCGAUGUCUAAUCGACGGAAGUUUGAGGCAAUAACAGGUNUGUGAUGCCCUUAGAUGUUUUGGGCCGCACGCGCGCUACAAUGACGGAGCCAGCGAGUCUUUCNCCUUGGCCGGAAGGUCUGGGGAAUCUUGUGAAANUCUGUCGUGCUGGGGAUAGUCCAUUNCAAUUAUUGGACUUGAACGAGGAAUUCNUAGUAAGCGCAAGUCAUCAGCUUGCGUUGAUUACGUCCCUGCCCUUUGUACACACCGCCCGUCGCUACUACCGAUUGAAUGGNUUAGUGAGACCUUCGGAUUGGCGGCCGGCUGCCGGCAACGGUGGNUGGUUGCUGAAAAGUUGGUCAAACUUGGUCAUUUAGAGGAAGUAAAAGUCGUAAUCAAGGU